GAUUUCUGGCUUGAUGCGCCUGACCCACCUCGGUUACGAGCGUGAGUGUCGGUGCGCGUCUGCCAUCCUUCUAGAAAACCAUCUCGCCCUUUACUGGGUUGGGGUGGCGAUCUAGAUCUAUUACUUUGAAAAAAUUAGAGUGUUUAAAGCAGGCUUUUGCUAUGAAUACAUUAGCAUGGAAUAAUAAUCUAGGACUUCGGUUCUAUUUUGUUGGUUUCUAUAACUGAAGUAAUGAUUGAUAGGGAUAGUUGGGGGUGCUAGUAUUGGCCGGCCAGAGGUGAAAUUCUUGGAUUCGGUCAAGACUAACUUAUGCGAAAGCAUU
rnacentral:rRNA from 1 species